rnacentral:other from 2 species
UUCCCUACGUAGUGCGUGUAGCUUGAAAUUUUAGAACCAACAAACAAUAAACGGGAGUCUGCCUUUGGAUGUGGCGUGUAUGCUUACAUUUAUGUAAGAAACCCAUAAGCAUUCAACAAGACACCCACCUGUGGAAGCAGGUCCUUAAAAUUUCACUCAACUUACGGCUAAUGUGGGGUUU